GCCAGGUGUGGUGGCGCACACCUGUAAUCCCAGCAGUUUGAGAGGCUAAGGCAGGAGAAUCAUGAGUUCAAAGCCAGUCUCAGUAAUUUAGUGAAGCAUUAAGCAACUCAGUGAGAUCCUGUCUCUA
rnacentral:sRNA from 1 species